rnacentral:rRNA from 1 species
UGCGUAGGUGGUGGUUUAAGUCUGCUGUGAAAGCCCUGGGCUCAACCUGGGAAUUGCAGUGGAUACUGGAUCACUAGAGUGUGGUAGAGGGAUGCGGAAUUUCUGGUGUAGCAGUGAAAUGCGUAGAGAUCAGAAGGAACAUCCGUGGCGAAGGCGGCAUCCUGGGCCAACACUGACACUGAGGCACGAAAGCGUGGGGAGCAAACA